GCCUGGAUGGCUCAGUGGGUUAGAGCAUGGUGCUUAUAACACCAAGGUUGCAGGUUCAAUCCCCAUGUGGGACA
rnacentral:tRNA from 1 species